AAUAAGCGGAGGAAAAGAAACCAACAGGGAUUGCCCUAGUAACGGCGAGCGAAGCGGCAACAGCUCAAAUUUGAAAUCUGGCUACUUUGUAGUCCGAGUUGUAAUUUGUAGAGGAUGCUUUUGGUGAGGUGCCUUCCGAGUUCCCUGGAACGGGACGCCAGAGAGGGUGAGAGCCCCGUACGGUUGGAUACCAAACCUUUGUAUAGCUCCUUCAACGAGUCGAGUAGUUUGGGAAUGCUGCUCUAAAUGGGAGGUAUAUCUCUUCUAAAGCUAAAUAUAGGCUAGAGACCGAUAGCGCACAAGUAGAGUGAUCGAAAGAUGAAAAGCACUUUGAAAAGAGAGUUAAACAGCACGUGAAAUUGUUGAAAGGGAAGCGCCUAUGACCAGACUUGUUUCUUUCAGUUUUGUUAGUUCUCGGACUGAUUUACUCUGUUAGUACAGGCCAGCAUCAGUUUGUUGUCGGGGAGAAAGGCUUAGGGAAUGUGGCUCCUUCGGGAGUGUUAUAGCCCUUUGCAUAAUACCCUUCGGCAGACUGAGGACCGCGCUUCGGCAAGGAUGCUGGCGUAAUGGUCAUCAGCGACCCGUCUUGAAACACGGACCAAGGAGUCAACCUUAUGUGCGAGUGUUUGGGUGUAAAACCCCAGCGCGUAAUGAACGUGAACGUAGGUGAGAGCUUCGGCGCAUCAUCGACCGAUUCUGAUGUUCUCGGAUGGAUUUGAGUAAGAGCACACAGGGUUGGACCCGAAAGAAGGUGAACUAUGCUUGUAUAGGGUGAAGCCAGAGGAAACUCUGGUGGAGGCUCGCAGCGGUUCUGACGUGCAAAUCGAUCGUCAAAUAUGAGCAUGGGGGCGAAAGACUAAUCGAACCUUCUAGUAGCUGGUUCCAGCCGAUUUCCCC
rnacentral:rRNA from 1 species